GAUGUACAGGCUGUACCAGCAGCAGGGACUAGUUGGAAACCCUUUCCUUCCUGCUGCAGAUGCUCCUGCCCAUGCUGCACCAGCCCAGCCAGCUGUCGUCCUCCUUCAAGCUGUCCAAGCUGUUGGAGAUACAUCAGAGGAGGAGACAGAGGCACAGGGUGGCAACCCUGCCC